rnacentral:lncRNA from 1 species
CAUCGAGUGCCCUCAUUUACUAUCUAAGUUUAGACUGUCUUUGCGCAUUGUUAGGUGUUUUCCUCAAGAGGGUCUAAGGUGACUUCUUUGAGUUACUGUGUGGAAAACCCCUCAUAGAAAGGUUUAAGUUGGUGUCUAUUCUCCUUGAAGAUUUUAUGGGUGUUGAGGCUUUUGAUUUCAACCGCACUGUGAGGGAAUAUGUUGGGCACGACGAAUGGGCCUAAUCAUCUC